CAAGAUCUGCUGACUGGAAAUGAGUCCCUGGACUUGGUGAGACUGUUCUUAAAUCUCUCCCUUUGAACUACCACAUAGAUAAAGUACUCAAGGAUGAGACAGAUGAAAUUUCUAAGAAUCUCUUCAUUGAAUUCAAUGAGUUAAUUUAACCAAGCAACAGACUGGGACAACAAAAGAUGAAGUGUCUUGCCCUGAGUCACAGGAGUUGGAAGUAUCUGAGCUAAGUUUUGGAGUCGUUGCAUGCUUCCUGAACCCCAAAGGGUAUCCUUCCACACCCAUAACAUUUUGACGCCCAACUUGAUUUUUGGCUCUCCUGAAAGCUACGCCUGUACCCCGGAUCGUCCACGAGGUCACGGCUUCUCAGUUGCUUCUAGGGUAAAAGUGCUCAUGAGAGUCACCCAGAUGCCACAUUCCACCAUAACCCCGGCAACCAUCCCAGCCUGCUGCUCUGGACACUGUCUACAGUCAAUGCCUAAGGACCUCUCUACGCCCAUUCUCAGCUCUGAAGAAGUUACAGAAGACAGACCGCUGUCCCUUUUUCCCUUACAUAUUAGGAGAGGGGGGAGAUGACAUGGGCACUGUACCCCAGAAACCCAGGAGAACUAUUAUCAGGGAAAACUCCUUUGCCCUUACAUCCUUGUGACUCUUAACCUAGAAACACCCAAUGACCUCACUCAGGGUCCUGAGAUGUUUACCCCCUUUUGUCCUCUAGAUUUAAGGUGGACAAAGAAAUGAAUUUUUAUGCCUUCAGGCAGACCCCAGUCAGAUGACCACCUCACCCCACCAAAUGCCUGAGGGACUAACAUUCUGGUCAGGUCCACUCCAGGACAUAGUAUCUAAAGAGUAUAUAAACCCCAGAACUGAUGUCCUCUGGGGGGAUGGCCUCUCCAUCAUGCUGUCCCCAUGGAGGAACAGCCUUUCCUUUCAUGCUGUCCUCCCAGGAACUGCUCCCCAUCUUGCUGUUCUACCUUGCUAUCCUCCUGGCCACUCUCAACAUUACUCUCUAAAUUAAUAAAUCUCUUUUUGUUUUCA
rnacentral:lncRNA from 1 species